rnacentral:misc_RNA from 1 species
GAUGAAGAACGCAGCGAAAUGCGAUACGUAAUGUGAAUUGCAGAAUUCAGUGAAUCAUCGAGUCUUUGAACGCACAUUGCGCCCCCUGGUAUUCCGGGGGGCAUGCCUGUCCGAGCGUCAUUGCUGCCCUCAAGCACGGCUUGUGUGUUGGGCCUCCGUCCUCCUCCCGGGGGACGGGCCCGAAAGGCAGCGGCGGCACCGCGUCCGGUCCUCGAGCGUAUGGGGCUUCGUCACCCGCUCUUGUAGGCCCGGCCGGCGCUUGCCGACACAUCAAUCUUUUUUCCAGGUUGACCUCGGAUCAGGUAGGGAUACCCGCUGAACUUAAGCAUAUCAAUAAGCGUAGGA